UGACCGUGGAGGACAAGAGCAUUCUUCUGACAAGUUUUAGCAUGGACUAUCCUCAGGAAAAUGAGAUCCAGGAAGAGUGACGCCCUCCUCGAACUGAAAGAUACUCAGGCUGAUGGAGUCAGGGACGAAGUGGUUUAUCAACAACACAGGAUGUCUGCAGGGAACAGAACUUAUUCAGACAUGGCCCAGAUUGUCUGCCCGUGGGGACUGAGGGACCUCUGAGGGUUACAUCAGGAAGGAAGGAGAGGCUGUUUCUACAGGUGCCACAGAAAAAUCGAUGCUGAGCCUCGGAUUAUUGGAUCCCAUAGAACCGUGGAGACUUGGCAGUGAAAUUCUUCCAAAGCAUUCCAUCUGCGCAGGCAGAGGUGUUCCUGGUUUAGGAAGUAUAAAUCCCGUGGGAAGUCAACUGGAGGACAUUUUACGCGUCACUCAUCCUAUUAUGAGCCUGCUGCUCCUCCGUCUCUUGACAAGUUGGCAGCUAAAGGACAGGAGCAGCAAUAAGGCUUCCUGGCUACAUUUUCAUGAUGCCACCAACUGCGAGUUAAGCUGACAAACAUUUUGAGAGCUCGGCCCAUUUCAUUCCCAGCAGGAUGGCAGGAGUUAACUAAAACAGAAUAAACUAAAAAUUGUGCCUUCAUUGCACAUUUGUACUGAUUAUCAGCACUGAAAAUGGCUAAGUUCUGCUUAUCAAGGAAAUAAUAUGCUCCAGAGUAUCCUCUAAUUCACCGAAAAUGGACUUGGAUAACAUUUGGGUUCUCAUACUACCACAGUCCUCUUGA
rnacentral:lncRNA from 1 species